rnacentral:lncRNA from 1 species
UGCCCUGCCGCCGCGCCUGCCGCAGGGGCGGGGGGACAGGCCGGCGACAGGAGGCGGGGCGCGCACGGACGAGGUGCCCGGGGCGGAGGUGGGGGCCGAGGGCCAGAGCGCGGGGCAGCCGGCGGGGCAGGGCUGCAGGGACAGUAGGGGAGGCUCGGGGUAGAGUCUGGAGGAGAGUUGCAGAGACACUCAAGUCCAGGGGGAAGGAGAAGUCGGCGCCGGCCUUAGGAAAGGCUGAGAAACGGGAACGGAGAGACCGGGAGCGGGGGACGGGAGGGCUGAGAAAACGGGAGGAGAACAAGUGGAGAAGGACACAGAGACGAGGAGCCAGAGCCUUCACGGGAGGCAGACGGAAGGCCAGCUCCGUCUUGCGGCGAAGCACAUCCGCCUGGGGCUUUUGCACCAGAUGGUGUCACAGCACUUCCAGGAGGGAGAGAGGUGUGCUGGACGGGAGCAAGGGGCAGGCGGCCUCCACCCGACACCUCACUUGAACGGCUUCGACAGGAGGAAGAUUCUGCUCUCCUGUGACAAGGUG